rnacentral:lncRNA from 1 species
UUUUUUUUUUUUUUUUUUUUUUUGUGGACUACCGCUUCAACUUUAUGCAUGGUUUCUUCCACAAUCAUAAUGACACCCUCAAAUUCUACCUGAUUUUUCAAUCAUGCCUCCCUCAAUUACUCCUGAAAGAUGGUGCAUAUUACUACUAGUAUUUUUUACCAUCACCAUUUUCAAAAAGAUUCCUGUUCUUUUUUUUUUUUAAAGUCAAAACACUUACAAGACAAAUUGGGACAAAUUUACAACAUGUAAUCAUUAGCAAGACUUUUAAAUUCUUCUCAUAUCUGCAGUUUAAAUUCUUUUCACAGAAGUCUCAAGUGUUGCAGAUGCGUUUCUUUGUCCUCUUCUUUACCACAGCUUUCUCCAUGUGAAAGAAAAGGCUAAAUGCGUUGAAAGUUUCAUGGACAUGGACCAUCAACAACUUUGCAAAAAUUGAUUCUUUUCUUCCUCAAAACAACUGGCAAAUUCACCAAGCACGCCAUCACUCCAAAAACUUUCUAACCAAACAAGUAUGGAGAAAAACAACUGGCAAUUCACCAUCGGAAUAAAGAAGUCCCAAAAAGUUUGUGUCCCAAAAAUUAAUGCCCUGAUCUAUCCAGUCUCAGGAGCAUAUGGGGUCCCAAUAUUUCCUUUACCAAACUCGAAUUCCAUCUUAAAGCGCCUUGACGGCAGUCACAUUCGGAAACCAAACAUUAUCAAUUUAAGGAAGAAAUCAAGAAAGUGACAAUAGCCACGAAGGCGGAUGGCAAUUGAAUUCAAAUCAAGUGUUGAAAAAUUGCGAUGUGAACUAUAAAAAUAUUAGGUGCGACGUGCCCAUUAUGUGGUAAUAUUACGUGAUGCACUAGUAUUAAUAAAAAUUCAUAGCAUUAACCUGUCUGAAAAACACUUACGAUUAUUAUUUGAUGACAGAUGAUUAGUUUUAGUGCACCACACGUGAGCUAGCGAGUAUGGUCUUAGUAAUAGCCUCUCCGUCAAUCAUACUAGCUUAGCUGAGGACAUGGUACAGUACGAGCAGAAUGGAGAAGAAAAUGGUUGUUUGACGGAGUGCAAGUGACAAAAUUUGGGGCAGAAAUAACAGAAGGGAAGUGUAGUCAUGAACAUCUAUCACUUCACCUUCCAAAAAGCUAGGACAGAGACAGGAGAGAGGUGAUGCAUGCACCAAAUCAAGUCAUCAUUCAACCAAUUCAACAGGAAAGGUUGCUCAAAAUCUUGAAAACCUUAGGCGGUGAACCAUCAAGAGACAAGACGCGUGAAGAAAGAAACAUGGCUGGAGAUUAGGACUAAAACUUACCAGAAAUGCAAUUUCAGAAAGCCCCUCUUUCCUUAUCAGACUGUACCUAGCCUUCGGCACCCAAGAGUGAAUCAUGCAACCCAAUGAUGCCCACAUGUUGAAACUCAAUGAAUCGCCAACAAACAUGAUGUUCUUCCCCCUCCAUUUCUCCAAGAAAUACAGCCCAUUAAACCUGCAAAAAAAAAGUAGCAGAGUUGGAACUCCAAUCCCAGACCAGAAGAGAAUUCAAGAAACCAAAGUUGAGAUUGAAGAGUUCUGAGGAGCACUCAUGGAGUUUGUACCUUGGGAUGUUACAUGAAAAUGGCUGCCACCUGUAUUUGAGGUACAACUUGUCAGGCCUCUUGUAGAGGAGACAGUUGAAUUCUGUAUCAAUGAAGGGACAUGAUGCAUAAUCAUAAAGGGGAUAUUGAGCAUCAUAUACCCAUUUGCCUCUGAAAAUGUUGCAACCAGUGGCUAGCAUUGUGGCUCCAAUUGAACUAGUGGUACUAAUAUUGGCAGCAUUCAAGAAAUUCUCGAUUUCAUCAUCAGCUUUUGCUGUUUGGCAUGAACAAAGAAAGAGUAAAAGUACUGAAGGGAUGAACAGAAAUCUCAUCUUGGAUUUCUAGCCCAGCAGAUUUGUCGGAGCUAAAUAACGAGGUUUUGAGGUAAAGUUUGUCGUUAAGAAAUGUGUUUCAUAUACUAUAUAGUGUACAACAUUAUAUACUAAUAUUGUGCGAGACUUGUGGACUCUGGUUAGAAAGAGAGAGAGGGAGAGAGAAUGAUGAGAAAGUAUUCCCAGUUGCACAUGCCCUUGAAAAUUAGAUGAACCCCACCUCCCCCAGGCGCCAACAAACAAGUGUCUCUUUUUUUAAAUAUAUAUAUCCAUUUGUGAAUUGUGAAUUUCUACAAGAAGAAUUAAAAAAAAAAUUGUGAUUAAUCUGAUCUUGUUUGGGCUAUAUGCUGGACUUUAGCCUGUGGGGUUGGUAAUUUUUUUUUCUUUUUUUUUUUUGUUGCAUUUGAAAUAUUUUGAAACCUCAUUUGAGUGUUCUUUUUCUUUAAAGAAAAGGAUGGCCUUUUUUAUAAAGUUCUCUUUGUGUACUUUUCUUGUGUUUGGUAGGUGAUUCUAAAACUUUUGGUAAAGGUGGCAAUAAACAUUAUUAUUAAUUGCAUAUGCUAAGGUUAAUUGUCUCUAGCAUCAUUAUUAAUUAAGCUGCACAUUUUGUUAAUGACUUCCACUCGCAGCUGCCUCUCUUUCUCUUCUACACUACUAACAUGCGAGAGUUUAUCAAAACCAUGGGCUAUAUAUAAUACAUAGUAUUAGAUUCUGUUUCCUUCUCUUUCUCACAUUUGCUCUUAUUAACUACAAGUGGCUUAAGCAUUAUUUUUCCUUUUUAAACAUUUUAGGAAAUGAAAUUUUUUGAACAAACUUGGAUUGACCUAAACUACGGUCAAUUUCUAGUGCUGAUUUAGGUAAUGUUUGGAUUGUAAUUUUUUGGAGUUUCUAUAGAAAAUGUAUGGUAACGAUUUGAUAUAUGUGAAGUAAAAAGACGAUCAGAAAACGUAUUUACGAAAAAUGUAGAGAUUUUUUAGUGAAAAAUUCCUUUCUAAACAAGCCCUUAGACUUUUGUAAAAACUUCAAGAAAUCAAAUGGAGGCCAUAAUUCAAUUUGUUUCUUUUGUUAAAAUCAAGUUCCUAGGAUAACUAGUGAACAGAUAAAUCACAUGUAAGAAAAGCUCGACAUUUUUUUCAACGGUGAGAAUUUAAUCUUAGUCUAUUUUACUCUUUGAUCCAUCCUAGAAAUUGAAUAAUUACACGCACAUUUCCUCUAACGCUUUUGUAUCAUUGAACUAACCCACAUAAUAUAGAAAAUAAAAAUAAACAAAAUCAUGAGUUUAAAGAGUUGUUGUGGGAAAUUAAAAUUUAAGUCUAGAACUAGACGAGGUGUCUUUGUAAUUACGACAAAGCUCAAGGGUGGACGGUAGUGUUAACAAAAUUCCUGCCGUGCUCGUGCUUCUUCUUCUUUCUUUAUCAUAUUGUUAGAACUUUCCGCGUGAAUUUUCUUUGCUACCAUAAUCACAUUCGUCCAAUUAAAGUAGUGGAGGACACCAGUGACUGUUGAUUGAGACCAGGCCGCACCACAUAUUAUUUGAGUCUGAUAAUACUUUAUUUACAUGGCAAGAUAAAGAGAACAAAAUGAAAUUGAUGCCUUGGAAGAUUGAAGAUUCAGCAAUUGAGACUUGCUGACUUUUAUCUUAUUAAAGUUACAAUCAAUCCAACAUCAUGGAACCAUCCUCAAUCCUUUCUUUUCAAUUUUUUUUUUGUCUUUUCUUUUUAAUUUAAUCACUCUACUAGAAGUCUGAAUUGGUAUUGUGUUUACAAUAUUGUUGUCAUUAAUUAAGUAAGAGUACUUGUAAGGUGGAUGGAAUUAAUUGGACAAAAGAGCUGAUAUGACAAUUUAGGGAUGAUAGUUUCUUUCUGCCAUGUAUCCAAUAGUUAUUUGCUUAGCCAUCACUCUUUAUCUCCGAAGCAACCAUCCUGCUAUGUGCUCGACACUUGUGAACUUUAAUAACUCGAAGGCUUAUGAUUGGAAAUUAUUGUGUUUUUGGUUACGUACUCUGGUUAUUUUCUUGCGAAAAUGGAUAAAAAUGAUGAAGUGGCACAACACCUGUAAAAUGUAGUAUUCAGCUAAUUAAUUCAUGGAGGGGACUGUUUUCAGGCACCGUUUUGGAUUGAGGGAUAGGGGUUCAUUUGUGAUUAUUAUUUGGACAAGAAUUCUAUUAUUUUUUAAUAGAGGAAACUUUCUGGCUAGUGAGGGCAACGGGGUGGAAUUGGGGCCCGCCCCCACUUCCCCCUCUUCUUCUGUGAGGUUAAUAAAAAUUUGUUAUAUAAUUUUAUUAUAAUUAAAUUCUAGCAAAUAAUUAAGUAGUAAAAUAUGAAUACAUCAUCAAAUCAUUAUCCGUUGUAAUUUUAUAAUUAAAAUUCAUAAAAAUAAUCAAACAAAAACUAUUUGAAUAUAAUCUAACAUGAUGAAACAAAUACAACUACAGUAGUCAAGUUUUCACUUUUGAAAAAAAUACAAUCACUAACUUAUUAUUGUAUUUUUUUGAAAAAAAAUUGUUAUUGUGUUAAGUGUAAUUGAGGAUUUAGUGUAAAUGUAUUAGUAAAUUUAAUAUAACUAAUUAAUAAUUUCUAUUAGUAGACAUGUAUAAUUAUUAGUAUAAUUGAUAAUAUCAAUUAUAUUACAUAUGCUUAUAUAUAUAUAUUAUAUAAUACUUAUAACUAAUAAUAUCAUUAUUAUAAGUUUGAAACUAAUUAAAUUAAAUGCUAUAUAUAUACAUAUAAAUAUAUAUAUAUAUAUAUAUAUAUUAACGGGUGGCGGGGCAGGGGUCCUUAACGGGGGAAAAUCCCCCCGCCCCAACCCCCAUCCCCUUAUCCCCCAUGGCGCGCAUCUGUCCCAAUUGCCGUUCCUAUUUUUGGGAGGCCCUGAACUAUUCACUUUACAUGGUUUUGGUCCCUAAAUUACAAGUUAUCACAAAUAAACCCAUAAACAAAAAAAAUGCUUAGUUUAAGGAUUUCCGUCAAAUUUGAGUGUUAAAUGUAACGGAGCUAGGGGCAAAACCAAUCAAAAAGAAAAACCAACCCAUGAUUUGAUUAAAAACCUACUAUAUUAAGCCAACUGAUAACGUGAAAUUUAAUGGUUUAUCAUCUUCUUUCAUCUUUCACCUUUUCUAGCCUUAAUUUGAUGAAAUAAUCAGUUACUAGACUUUUUAGACUAUUUUGUGGGUUUUUUUUUUUUGGUUGGUUUUGUUCCUAAUUCGGUCACAUCUAAUGGCCAAAAUUAAUGAAAAUCCUUAAACUAAGCAUUUUUUUUUGUUAAGGACUUAUUUGUGACAAUUUAUAGUUGAAAGGCAAAAACCAUGCAAAGACAAUAGAUUAGGGACUGUCCGAAAAACUUCCUCUUUUUAAUAUGUUUUCCAACCAUCUUAUAUUUUGUAUACAUCACUGUCAUUACAGCACAAAAGUGUCAUAAUAAACAAUACCAAAAAAUUUCCCAAAUGGCUUGCAACCCAUACAUAAUAUAACAAGGAGCAGUCGUAGACAGAACGUAAUGGUGGUACCUUUUGAUUUUGAAUUUUGGGCAAAUUUCUAAGUGUCAAUAAGGGUGUCUUUGGGGCUGUCAAGUAACAGUUGAAAAUCAAGAAAUGAGUACCUAAUAGAGUAUAAAAUUGAUUGGUUUUCGACAUUACAGAAUUCAAUUCAGGAGUCUUUGAGUUUUGACAUGAUGAAAAUUGAAGAAGGGGCUCAUGUUGUAGGGUCUGCCGUUUGUCCCAAGAAUCGAUCUUCUCCACACAAAAAUGAAAACACAGCAAUAGCCAUAUGCAUGGCGGCAUUCCUCCAUACUUCUCUUUCAGCGUUAGUCAAUCCCACGUAAUAAUUCAUAGUGCCACCAAAGCCGCCUCCCCACCACUUCUUGCUCUUGGUGCUAACACCCUUGCACACACGCAUGGUGGGCAAUGGCGCACACAAUACAUAUACAUAUAUAUAUAUAUAUAUAUAUAUAUAUAUAUAUAUAUAUAUAUAUAUAUAACAAUAUUUGGGGGAAUUAUUUGAGGUGGAUUUUAAAAUAAAAUGCUAGUUAAAUAUUACUUGUUCUGAAAUUUUUAUAGAAAGGAAAGUGCAAAAAGAGGAAAGAUGUAGGGAGAAGCGAAAGGGACUAAAAAUGGUGUGACUCGGACUUUUGUUCUAUGGCAACUAUGGAAAACCUUUAGUCUAGGAUAAUUUUUUAAUGUAAAUCGCUGCACUUGAUUUUCAAUAAGAAACACUUCUUAAUCUAUACGUUAAUUUAGAGGCUUUCUUAAAGAACAAAUAAAAUGAAUUCCAAUCAUUCAAUUGGUGGCCCCAAAAUGGUACUUUUUUUUUGGAAUAAAGGAGUCUUGUAACAUUGAUUAGUUACUUAUGAAUUGUGGGGGAUGGGGUCAAGUUUAGAACUAUAUGGAAACAGCCACACUGUCUAGUAGUUUUUUUGUAUAGUGCUUCACAUGUGGGUUGGUCACUAAGAUAAGACUAUCAACUUGUGAGUUGUGAGGCCUGAAAAAAAAGAACUCUUUUUGUAUGGAGAUCUUGAUCAGGGAAAUGAGGAACAGAAUCCACUUGGGGGUUUGCCCAAAAUGAAGAUUUCCACCCAAAUUUAAGUUUGGCCAGAGUACCAAAGAUCACGUUAAUGUAAUCUACAAUUAUAGAGAAGUCACGAAGCUUUUAGAACUAGGUUAACCUCUCCAAUCCACUUUUGAAGUUAUAGAUCAUGUUUUGGUAUAUAUCAAUUAGUCAAUAACAUUAUUGUCAAGCCUAAUCUUGCAUGCAAAAUCUAUCAACAACAAAUACAAUGCUCAAUCAUUGAAAGGUUAGUACAAUACCGAAAAAAAAUAAUUAAGGCCAAAUUAAUCCAAAUAUUUCAUAAUUUCUCAAAUUAAUCCAAAAGGAAAUGGUGCAUGUCUCAAAUUCAAGGCUAAAGAACUAGAUAUUUUGCUCUUAGACCUACCAAGUAACAGCUUUGUUAGGAUUGCAUUUUUCUAGAUUUUUUCGUAGAAAAAUUACUGUAAUGAUUUGAUUUAUGUGAGGUAAAAAGGUGAUUGUGAAAUGUGUUCAUGGAAAACAUAGCAAUCUUUCUUUGAAAAAUUACUGUCCAAACAAGGCUAACUUGGUAAGCCUAAGAGCAAAAUAUCUAGUUCUUUAGAACUUGAAUUUGAGACAUGCACCAUUUCUUUUUUACUGUCUACGAUUUAUUUAAAGCUUUUGUCACAUUUGAAUGGUGAUGACAGAUAUUGCUUCUAAAGCAAGUAGGGCAACUUUGGCCACAUGUAAUUUGUAACAUUCAUUUGUUGUCUUCUUGCAACGUCAAGUCAUCCAGCCAUCUUGAUCGUAAUUGAUAGCACCCUCUAACAUAGUGGAUUGGCUAAAACAAGAAAUCUUGACUGCAAUUGAUAGCAUCCUAUAAUAAACGUACCAAACUUACUUUACCAAGUAACGAAUUGGGUGUUUUAGAAGCCAAAAGGAUAAUGGAUUAGGUUCCAAGAAUCACUUUUUUAUCUCUAUUUUGUCCCCUCUCACCCUUACUUUCUAUCCUCUCCCUAUUGAAGUUUUUUAACUACUUUUUUGGUUAUACAUGGAGGACUACAGUAAAGAAUGAGAGGGGAACGCUAAGAGCCCAUUUAAAUUACUAUUUUUUUUAAUUUUUAUAAAAAAUGUACCGUAACAAUUUAAUAUUUAUAAAGUAAAAAAAAUAAUUAAAAAGUAUAAAAGUUCUGACCUAAUUCUGACCCGCAACACGACUAAAACGACCCUGAAUACAACCAGUCCAGAAUCUGAAUGAAGCUACUUCUUGUUUUGUUUAUCUGUGCCAAAGAAGGAAAAAAUCUCAUUACGUCUCGAUUGUGUCCCUUUUUUGUACUAAAAAAUCGUUUGCUAAAAAUGUUUCCACAAAGCUUUCGGGGGUGGGGUAUACUAUGCAACCUAGGGUUGUCUAGGUCACAAGCUUUUCUUCUUUUUCAUUGUCUCUGUGUAAAAGUAAACAAGCUACUCCUUUUAAAUGGUAAAACGCUGGAAUGUAUAAAACAGGAAAUUUUCAAUAGCUUUUCUGUCCUGAAUAAUCUGGUUUAACAGUUAUCCUACCGUCCAACUUCUGUGAGGAGCUGGAUCCAACCUCAACUAGGAAUUUCUUUCCUGGAUCAGAAUGGCAUCCAACCAUCAUUUUCCCCCAGUUUCCUAAUGGAUAAAACAUAGUGGCGGCCUCAGUAUUCAUGAAACUUGAAUUGUAAAUAAAGAUUAAUAAAUUAACUGCAAAUUUACAGGCAGCCACAGACCAGACAAUCAAGGGAUUUACCAUUAGAAGCCAUUCAUUCAUUCAUUCAUUCAUAAAACUGGGUUUUCUGCAAAUCAUAUGAUAGUAAAGACCAUUAAAUGGAAGAUUUCCCCUUCUAUACAUAACUAACUUAAACCCUAUUAUACUCUUUUAAGGCGAAACAUCUCCGCUGGCCAUUAUUUACACUCUUUUAACACAUUGUCAGCUUCCAUUUGCUGCAGGUGGAAACCAAAUAGUACGAACUAAGGCAAUCUUAUUUACGGCAGCAGCACAUUUAGACAAGCUCCCACUCAGUUUCAGAACUAUGAACUGGAAAUGACUUGGUGUUAGACUCUGCAGGACGAUCGGUCAUUGCUCUCUCUGCACCCUCUUGAUUUGAGUUUUGCUCGGUGUAUCUCGCUGCAAGCUGCUCAUAUUCCUUCUUUUUUAACCUCAUCCUGGAGGAGAAAGCUUCGCGCAAUUUUUUCUACAAGAAGAAAUUUGUCCAGUCAGGGAAGAAAAGUUCACACAAGAAAUCCUUCAACUCUAACAGAUGAGAGAGAGAGAGAGAACCUUGUAGGAUUUGUGAUUGCCCUUCCCUUGAGGUAAAAAAUGAAGCUCAUCCCCCUCCACCAAGACACAUGUUUCCCCUAAUUUUGACUCAUCAAACGGCUCAAUAAUUUCCACAUCCGGGUCCACAGUAUCAUCAUUCUUGGCUGCAUUUACACUAUAGUCAUCCAAUCUUUCUGUCAAGCAUAGAGAAAGAACAAUAUUAGCAAAAGCAGAGACCUACUGAGGAAGAGGCAGGAAAGUCACUGGUACAUAAAUUUGGUGCCUAGGUUGCGUCAGCCCAUACUGUGCUUGGACAAGAUUUUUUUUUAUUGUAUCAUAAACACGUCUUCCAAUUACUUUGUUUAUAUCAAAUCACAAAAAGUGCUACAGUUAUCCUAAAAUUUUUUUCAUGAUCUUGCCUAUCCAAUUUUCUGGGGGAGAGAGAGAUAGAGAUCAUGAGAUUAUAUGAUUGUUUGUCGUGAAAAAUUUUCAGCCAAAAUGCACAAUAUAGCAGGAGUCCAAGUUCAGUCUCCACGUUGAGAAGACAACAGGUAAUCCCAUCUAGUAAUGCCAUAAUUGACUUCACUUUAGGUAAAAAUUGAUGCACUUCAUCUCACUUUGCCUAGAUGCAAGUCCUAGAAUGACUUAUAGAAAUGAUCCUCUCACACAAAGUUUAACCCUUUUCUGGACGCAAUAGACCGAGACCUUUAAUGAUUGAAUUACAUUCCAUCACUUGGAACUCGACUUUCCAAUAACUUAGCCAUAAGAAAGGUUGGAAUACAAUUUGGUUUUAUUAAUACCUUGGUGGGCCAUGAAGACCUCCUCCUCAACAGAUUUUAUGCUGUCUGUUCCAGUUGCAAUUGUCUUCUGAGUCUGGGAAACCACUGUGCUGUUUGUACAUGUGCCUACAGCUAAAGCAGCAGUUAGGGUGCGUCAAAUGCAGAAAUCAUAAUGAAAUAAGUGAAAGGACAAAACUGAAUCCAGUUUUAGAUGAUACCAGAGGACUCUGAUGAUAAGCCAUCAGAAGGAGAAUCAGCUUGCUUCUGCUCAGCUGAUACAACUGACACAAUUGUUUUAGCAGCGGUAGCUGGUGAAUUAAAUGAAGCACGAGACAUAGGCAGACUGGUAUCAUCCAUAGGUUUACAAAGCUUCUCAUUUGCAAUUCUGGAGCGUUCUUCAGCGCCAGCUGGUGGCGAUAAGACAUCAACACAGCCAGAGGCCAUUUGACAACUCUUUUUCAUUUGAGAAAAUGAGGACAGGUUUCUUAAAUUCUCUGAAAAUGGUGCAACUGGCCCAGUCACAGGUGGCAUAAAAUUUACCAUAGAAUUGCUUUUCCUACUGGCUACCGGACGUCUGUAAAGUCCGGUUUUACUUUUACCUGUAUGCACCAAGAGUAAGAGCUAUAACUUUCACCGUGAUGGAAAAGAAUGAAAAGAACCCUAUUCCGCCAAAAUUUUGAAAAAGAACAGAAAGUUCAAAUCUUUACCAGAAAUUACUUUAGACUCAUCACUUAAUUUCCAAUUGGUAUCUCUACCAUCUUUUUUAGCAUUUGCUUUCAGUAUCAUUUUGGAGUGAGCAUAAGGAUUCAAUGACAAGUCAGCAGCAGCCACUUUCACAGGAUCAACAUAUGAAUCUGAGUGCAAAUCUUUCAUCACUUCUGAAUAGAACCUCUUAACACUAGCACCAACAGUCUGGACCUGAUUUUCAACAUAUUUGACAGCAUCCUGUCAAAAAUUAAACCACUUAAAAUAAAAACACCCACACUUUGAGACUACAUACACUUAGAUUCGAUAAGACCUCCCAAGGCAAAGCACGCAUAGCACAUUAUUAGAUAAUCAAAUCAGUAAUUUUGUCUGUGAAAACCACCACUAACCAACUUCAUAAUGUAUCACCAAAAGCAAAGAUAAGAACAUAAGUGGCACCAGAGAUUACUUUAGAAUAGAAAAGAUAACUUGUAUUCACCACAAGUAAGGGCAUCUACCUCAUACAUAACCUCUUCCAUCUCCAGACACAUAGCUUCAAACUUGUCAUAUAUGUUUCCAAUCCAUGCUAAACCUUUUAAGUCCAUCAUGCAGUUACUUCAGCACGUCAAGGCUUUAAUGCUCAGCUGCAAAAUUCAACAAAGGACUUUUGUAAGAUUUACAGCAAGAGCUUGCCUAAUAGCAAGAAGCCAUCGGGUACUAAGACACAGUUUAUUAAUUAUUAUAGCAGCAUCCAUUGCAAAUUUGCUACCAAGUGACAAAACAGUAUACAAGCUGAUCAUCAAAAUUGAGCAUAAUCAUUAUAGCAUAAUGAACUCAAUCAGUCAACAAUUUUAGCCCUCUGAGUCAUAGUUCCAGUAAAUGUUCUUUAGUCCUACAAUGUACAGUUCCCUGAUGCUCAAUAACAUAAGUAGAAGGGUUGCAAGAACAAACUAGGAACCAACAUUCUAGCUAAAAUGGGGUAGAAAAAGUCCACCAAAAUACAUUUCAGGCAGAGGGCUAGAAAGAUUCAUGCACAACAAAGGUAUGGAAUAAUAUCAAGGUUGGUUGAAUGUUUGUGAUAAAAAUUCUUAGUAGUUCAACCUGAUGCAUUGUUCUAAGCUGCAUAUUCACAAUCUACAUGUAAAGAGAAAUUAAAAUUUAGAAAAAAGAGUAAUUUCAUCUAAGCAAAUCCUCCAAAUAUCCAUCAGAAAUAUAUCAUCAAUAACAUAUAAUUCGAGCAGUAAACCAGAGGAAAGAAAAUUUUCAGGGAAAAAUAGUUUUGGUAAAUGGUUAGCUGAGACAUCAAAGGAAAGAUCCUACACAUACGAAGAAGGAUGCUAGAUUCCUAAUUCAUAUUGCAAAAGCCCUCUCCAACUCAUGCCUGUCAAUCUCAACAGCAGAGGGCCUCUAAGGUAAUUAUGAAUUAAGACCUUCAAAAGUCAAGCAUUUUUACUAACUUCAUAUAAUUCCCAAAAAGCAAACAGAAUAUAGAGAUUUUCACAGCAUUCAUGGUGCAGAUUUUUUUUUUUUUGCAGAGAAUAUGACUGAAAUCUUUGCAGAAGAAGAAAGCAUAAACCUAAACUGUAGAAUUUGCAGCCAAUCUUUGGCUAAUUUGAAUCAUUCAUAACAACUACAAUUUUAUAAGCUAGUACUUUCCAAUGCUAUCAAUAGUAGGCUUCAUCAAGCAUGACUAAACAUGGAAGCAUCAGAAUGAAGAGUUCAAUUAGUCAGCAUAAUUAACUAGGGUUUAUCUUACUGCUUUCAAUUGGAAAUAAGACAGCUAUUCCCGAGGAUCUGGAACUACUCUAGUUGUUGGAUGUUUUUCUAGAGAACAAGACAAUUAUAUUUAUUUGCACGACCCCCUAAGCCAAAAACCCUAUCCUCAAAUAGACCAACUCCACAUUGAUCUGUCAAUUUCAGGAUAGACAGACGUGCUUGAGCUUCACAAUCACCAGUUUAAAUAAGGAAUUGAAAAGAAAGAAACUAGAGAUCAAGUUCAUCACCCAGCAAACAGAAUGGCCUAAAGUUGAUUCGUCAGAUUCUACAUCUUAAACACUAAAUUCCUGUACACUGCCCCCAUAUCUAUAAAUCUAACUAGACAGGUACUCAAUCAAAUAAACGAAACUGCAGGAUAUGAUGGUAUGCACAUAAGAUAACAGUAAGCAAAAUGAGGCUUUCUUCCGGUGAUGCUGCAACCCAUGACAAAGAAGAAACCCCAUAACACAUUACUUUGGCGUAUAAAAUUGGAAAUUUGAUGUCGCCUUGCAUAACAAACCUUCACCUUCUAUUAGGAAAUAUUGUCAGAAAAUUCUUUCCCUAGAUUAGAAUAUACUACUACUUCUUUCCACAUACAAGGAAUAAUUUGAUGCUUUCCAUGUUUCAGAAAAAAGUCAAUCUUUAUGCUUUCCCAUAAUCAUGUUCGUCUAAACCACCCUUAAACCCAAAUCUCCCCCGAAACUAUUCCAAACCCAUCGAUUAAUUCAUCAAACACAAGCAAGCAAACAUCCUAAAGCCACAAAAACCAGACAAAGAAAAACCCACCAGACCACAAACUUAUCAGUCAUCACAUGAUCAUGGCCACUCUCUCCCCCAAACCAACACCCCCCCCCUUCACCUUCUUCGUCCCUAGCUUCCGAAACCAUCCAAAUUUACAAAACAAAAAAAGGUACAGGAACCACAUAGCAACAGCUAAACAGCAGCUUCGACACGAAAAAAAAAAACAAUUUUAUAGUCGUAAACUCAAAAUUUUUACCAGAAGAAAUUACAGAAACACAAAAAAAAAAAGGAUAACCUGAUCAGAAGUUAGAAAUACGAGUUCAAAAAAGGAAAAAGAAUCCAAAAAAGGACAUACACAUGCUAGAUAUUUUAGAAACAUGCGAUUAAAGAAAGUGGUGAUGAUGAAUAAAGUUAAAGCAGCACACUUACAUACUUGGGGAAUACAGGGAGGCCCAGAAAGGAAAAAAGUAAUCUUUCUCUCUCACUUCUUUUUUUUUUCGGAAGAUAAUUAGGAAAGAUAAGCCAAGAAAAAGGUUAAGUUUUUAGCUUUGAAGAAAGAGAUGAUAAAUUGAAGUAUUAGUAAUAGGUCGUAACUUGGAACAGAGGUAUCACUAACAUAAAAUAGGGUAAGAGAAAGAUAAGUUUAAUUGAGUAGGAGAAUUAGAAACGUAUAGGUGGAGCUCACCUGGUUUCCUUGGGUAUGGGUUCUUGACACGUGUAUUCCUAGAAUAUACUUAAAGGUAAAAUGCUACCAACCUAAAACAUCUAUAUAUAUAUAUAUAUAUUAUAGUAAAGACUAAAGAAGGGCGAAUUUAAGAAGCGAGGAGGAGUCAGGGGAUCAAAAUUUCUACAUUUUAUGGUUUCAAUUUGAGUCAUUAGACUAAAAAAUUUAAAUACCUAGUAAGUCAUUAUUCUAAAAAUAUUUGGGUUUCUUUUUAUUAAUAUAAAUGUCAGUAUUGUCUUUUUUGCAUACUAAUAUUGUGGAAAAGAAUAAAAUUACAAUACAUGUUGGCUUUCUUUUACUUUUUCUUGUUAAUUCAAGAGUAGUUGUUCUUUUUGGGGCUAAAUAAUAUUCAUGGAAUAAACAUGUUGUGUUAUUGUGUUUUUUUUUUUAGAGUGUAAUCUAUCCAAAAUUACAAUUUUUUUUAAUUUUUGACAAGAUUAGGAUUGUAUUGUUCUAUUUACAUAGAGCAUAUUUUAUCUUUCAAAAUAGUAGUGAAGUUACCUAUGAUGUUUAGUGGAAUCACAACUUCUUGCAACUAAUUCCAUCUCGAAUUCCUUAUUCCUAAGAGUUUUUGCAACAAAACUUAAGAAAUUAAGUGAAAAAUUGCUUUUGAAAGAAGCGAAUUUGACCCCAAGAAAAAAGCAAAAAAAAAAAAGAAGAAGGGAAUUUGACCCAAAUAAGUGUCCCUCAAAAUAUAAGAAUCAGAAUUCAUUGCCAAGAAAAUUCUGCUUAUAGCGAUGCCCACUUACAAAGGAUCAACUACAAGGUCCCUGAGUCCAUGAUGUGAGAACCCUCAAAGUCCAACUCACUUUCUUUAACUUUUUGCCCUGUCUAUUCAAGGGUUGGUAAAUUAUCGUCAAACCGAAGGUAAUACAGAUUACUUGUAAUUGUAGCCCUUGUAAGAUUUACACUUUUAAGCUUUGCCUAGGCUACCAAUAAAUUUGACAAGAAAAAAAAAAGGAACAAGAAGAAGAAGAAACUUAGAUGGCACCCAAGUCAAUAGGCCGACUAAUGAUGUGGAAAUAAUGAAUGCUUUUGUCCCUUGACCUAUUAUCCAGCUUCCACUACUGUUUUCUCGACUGCCACCAGAAGUUUGAAGAAUUUCAUUACAAUUUCCAUCCUCCUACAAGCAUAGCGUCAAUACAGUUUCCUGUCACUAAUUCUUGGCGAAAAUCCGUUUUCUUUCAUUUUCAACCUUUUGGACAAAAUCCAAUCUGGAAGAGAUAAAGAAACUAUGAUACUUGACGUUUUCAGAUGGAACGUAUCCAUGAGAAUUAUGUUUGGAUAAAAUUCGCCUAGCAAGAAUCUAAGGAUAAGAUAAUGAUAACCAAUCUUGUAGACUUCAAUUUCCAAGGGAUCAUAUUUAUCGGAAAAAAAAUGAUAAAUGCAAAUAUGAUACAGAAGAACAGAUGAAGCAAAACCAAGAAAUAUAUACGAGAAUACAUUCAACAGAAAAGAUCAAAUCCAAACUUAAGAGAAACAAAGUGGUAUUAUAUUUCAAUGUCAACCAGCAGCUUGAAAAUCCCCAAAGUCAUCAUCUGGAAUGUCUUGUGUGUUUUGGUCUUCUGGAGGUUCUAAUUCUUUAGAUUGUUCUUGAGGUGAGACAGAGUCCUCUGCUGCUGAAGAUUCCUUUAGACUG